CACGUAGUUAGCCGGUGCUUCUUCUUACGGUACCGUCAUCCACCGCCUAUGUUAGAGGCGGCGAUUUCUUUCCGUCCGAAAGAGCUUUACAACCCGAAGGCCUUCUUCACUCACGCGGCAUGGCUGGAUCAGGGUUGCCCCCAUUGUCCAAAAUUCCCCACUGCUGCCUCCCGUAGGAGUCUGGGCCGUGUCUCAGUCCCAGUGUGGCGGAUCAUCCUCUCAGACCCGCUACGGAUCGUCGCCUUGGUGGGCUUUUACCCCACCAACUAGCUAAUCCGACAUCGGCCGCUCCAAUCGCGCGAGGUCCGAAGAUCCCCCGCUUUCUCCCUCAGGACGUAUGCGGUAUUAGCACAUCUUUCGAUGUGUUAUCCCCCACGACUGGGCACGUUCCGAUGCAUUACUCACCCGUUCGCCACUCGCCGGCGGGCCGAAGCCCCGCUGCCGUUCGACUUGCAUGUGUAAAGCAUGCCGCCAGCGUUCAAUCUGAGCCAGAUCAAACUC
rnacentral:rRNA from 1 species